ACGUAGAAACUGGUAAAUACAUUGAGCUGAGUACGAGAACUUGGGGACGCAUGGGAGGAGGGGGAGACACCUGGCGGGGACGGGGAGAGGCGGGCAGAGGGAGAGUGUUGCCUGGGGCGUGGGGUUCUUUGGCGUACCCCGGGGCAAGUUUACCGUGCAGGAGGCGACGACGAAGGCGAGCGAGGGGCAGGAGGAGUCGAGACGUGGAGGAAGAGAGACGAGUGUUGUGAGAUGUGACGAGAAAAGGCGAGGAGAACAAGAAGAGGAUAAAAGGAAAAACAAGUCAAAGAAAAGGAAGAUACGUUUGAAAAUUGACAAUAACAAAAAGUGAACGUAGAAUGAAAAAGUAUGUGAUGCGAGGGUGAAACCUGAGACGAAGUGUUGUUGGUUCCGUGAGGGAAAAGAACAGGACAAGAAGAAGAGGUUGAAAGGGAAAGACAUUGAAGAAAAGGAAGUUACGCUUGAAAAUGGAAAGUAGUACAGGUGAAAGUAGAUUGGAAAAGAAAGUGAAGCGAAGGAAAAAAGGGAACGCAGGUGAAAUAUGUGUCAAGAAAAGAAGAGGUUGAAAGGGAAAGACAUCGAAGAAAAGGAAGUUACGCUUGAGAAUAAAAAGUAGUACAGGUGAAAGUAGAUUGAAAAAGAAAGUGAAGCGAGGGAAAAAAGGAACCCUGUGUGAAAUUUGUGUCAAGAAAAGAAGAACAGGACGAGAGGAAGAGGAUGAAGGGGAAAGAAGCCCAACUAAAGGAAGAUACGUUUAAACAAUGAAAAAAUAACCGGUGAACGUUAUAUGAAAAAAAAGGUUAAGUAAUGAGAGGGAAAAGAGGAAAAGCAGUUUGGUGAGAUAUGUGACCAGAAAAGGUGAAUGAGAAAGUGGACCGAGGCAAAACACUAAAAAAAAAAAGAAAAAAAAGUGGAAGAAGAGGAAAUCAGUGAACGAUAAAGUGGAGACGAAAUUAAAACAGGAAAAAAAAAGUGAUACGAGACAAAACAAAAUAUGAAAAAAAAGUAAAACUGAACAAAAACCCAAAAAGCAGAAAAAAGUAAAACGAAACAAAAACCCGAAAAGCAGAAAAAAGUAAAACGAAACAAAAACCCGAAAAGCAGAAAAAAAGUAAAACCAGACAAAUUAAAAGUGAGAAGGAAAAAAUAGAAAAAAUAAAGAAAAAAACAUUGAAAAAUCAUCCCCUGGUCAUCGUAGUGUUUCUGAAGGCAUCGCAAACACCUGGAGUGGAACCUUCUCAACGGGCAAGGUGAGUGGCGUGCAUGGGGCAGCGUUGUACCAUCACCUGUGCAGUCACGGUCUCGGCCCCACGGUCAGGGUCGGCAGGUACGUAAACAAUACUUGAAAGAGGAAUUAUUAAUUUUGAAAGCAAUGUGUCAACUAUUGCUUUGUGCAACAGCGAGACUGGCGGAUUGUGAAGGUGUCACUUAUAUAUU